GCUCUGGCGUUUAUGUCGGCUAUCUUGGGCGGCGAGGGUCCCAGCGGAGAAUCUUGGCCGUAGGGACGUCACCUCUGGUGUCUCUCCCCGCGGCAGCACCUCGCCCAGAACCCUGAAUAUCUUCGACCGGGAUUUGAAAAGGAAACAGAAGAACUGGGCGGCCCGGCAGCCCGAGCCGACGAAGUUUGACUACCUGAAGGAGGAGGUUGGAAGUCGGAUCGCAGACCGUGUAUAUGACAUACCCAGAAAUUUCCCCCUUGCUUUGGAUCUUGGUUGUGGAAGAGGUUACAUUGCACAAUAUUUGAAUAAGGAAACUAUUGGAAAGUUUUUCCAAGCCGACAUUGCAGAAAAUGCUUUGAAAAAUUCCUUAGAAACAGAAAUACCUACUGUCAGUGUUUUAGCUGAUGAAGAAUUCCUUCCCUUCAGAGAAAAUACAUUUGACCUGGUGGUUAGCAGUUUAAGUUUGCAUUGGGUGAAUGACCUUCCUAGAGCACUUGAACAGGACACUGAUGAAAUUCAAGUUAACUAUCCUGGAAUGUUUGAAUUGAUGGA
rnacentral:sRNA from 1 species